UCUGCAAAGAUGGCUGACAAAAAUACUUGGUUGGAAGAAAAUGGACUCCUGAAACAACCAGCAAACAGUGGGUGUAAAUAAUCUAGCUAGCUAAAGCAUUUACUGCAAAUUGAAUGUACACUUUUGUACGCUUCCCUUGCUGAUAUUUGCCAUGCAAUGCAGAAAGAUGAAUAACUAGCUAUGUUCUUUGCUUAUUGUGCAGUGGAAUAUAAAAAUACCUGUAUGGAUGUGUAGCUAGCCCCAUCUGUGUAUGGACCCAAACGUUUGGUAUACAAAUGAGUUCAGAACCUGGCUAUGAAUCUCAGCUAUCAUAGCCAGUUGUAUCAACUUCAAAACAGUCUGAAUUAUAUUAAUGAAGCCUAUGGAUUGAGUAGAAUAUAACUUUGUGCCAAGGAUGCAAGUUGUAUGUACAUUACCAUGCAUAAGAUCCCCACAUUGGAACCUGUACAUUUAAUAUAUUCACUGAUCAUGUACUCUACCUUGGCAAAUAAAGGUGCAGUUCAGGUA